UGACUUUUCUCGAAUCCAAAAUUCCACAUCAACUCAAGUCAGAAUCAGUUUUUAAAUUUCCUUCCCAACGAGACUUGCUAGUAGACUAUUAAGGACAUCUUCCCUGUCACUGCAACUCCCUUCCUUCUCUCUAGCCCUAGGUCUCUGCGUUUUCCCUUCUGUUUCAAUGUGGUCGUCAUCUGAUAGUGAACAACACUUCAUCAGCACCACCACCACCACCAGCAACAACCAUCGCAGAGUAUCUUCUUCAUCGUCCAACUCCUCGUCUAUGUCCUCACCUUCCGCUCCUCUCGCAACCCCAAGAAGGAAAACCAUGGAAGAAGUCUGGAAGGACAUUAACCUCGCCUCUCUCUGCGACCACACCUCUUCCAGAGAAAACCUGCUUCUCUCCCCAAACAACGUUAGAACCGCCACCACCACCGUCACCGCCGCCGCUACCACAAGCAGCUUCGGAGGCAGGAUCUUUCAGGACUUCCUUGGUCGACCCUUCAGCAAAGACCCACCCUCAAGCCUUGUAUCUGCUGACCCCAUCCAACCCCGUGAAGCUAGGCCCUUUACUUCUCCUUCGUCAUUACCACCUCCCACCACCGCCUUGAGUCUAAGGUCCGCGCCCGAUUUUCAUUUCCUCGAAAGCAUCGACCCCCUGAGGCCUCCCCCACAGUUACACAUCCCUGUCAAUGGACCUUCACCUUUCCUCAUGUCUUCCCUCACCUCUUCCUCCUCCCCCUUGGACGCUUUCGCUUCUUCCCCGAAUUUCUUUCCCUUAUGCAAGAAAAGGGUUUCGGACUCUGAUGAUGGUUCCGGCGAUCGACGCCGUAAGCGUAUGAUCAAGAACAGAGAGUCUGCCGCGCGCUCUAGGGCCAGAAAACAGGAAUCUCUCGAUCUGCUCUUCUCUUUCUCUCCUUUUUCUCUUCUUUUGUUCCCUUUUCCUUAUUGGAAAUCAUUGAAAUGCUUCAUUGUAAACAUAGAUCAAGUAAAGUUUGAGUUUUUAUUCCAAAAUUUUCUCUGUUUUUUUUCUUCUCAAUCCUCAUUUUUCUCUAAAUUUAAUUGCAGGCGUACACGAACGAGUUGGAGAUAGAAAUUAAUCACUUGAGGAAAGAGAAUGCCAGGCUGAGACAAGAGCAGGAACAACAACGACAAGAACAACAGGGGCAGUCAUCACUCUUUGGAAGAACUGCUCAACUUCCCAAAAAGCACACCAUCUAUAGAACGUCAACAGCUCCGUUUUGACAAGUGUUGGUGCCAGAGGCAAAGGCAGUCCUUCUACUAGGCUUCUCCUUUUGUGUCUUUUUUGCCCUUUUACUCUAUUAAAAUUACCUUGUGAGGUAAGGUAUGCCAAUCAAGCAAUCACUACUGUUACUGUAUAGACAGAGAGAAACGAGAGAAGAUGAGGUGGGUUUGUUAAGGAAAAUAUCUAAUGUGCCAAAGUAGUUGUGGUUGUGUUUGUGGCAAAGAAGGAAUUGUUGAAUGAGGUGAGGCUGUGUCUGAGGUGAGAAUGGAAGGCUUUGAAAAUUCCAAGCAGGCAGGAACUUUGCUUUGAUGGGUCACUUCUUUUUUCAUUCUUUUUUUCAAGCUUUUGGGCAUCCUUUACUUUUGUCUAUAUUAUACCCUGUUUUUUUAGCUCACCUGUACUGAGGUUGGAGGAGUUGGGAGGUAGCAGGAGUCGUCCUAAGGAAGGAGACUGAUUGCUUUAGCUGUAAAAAGAUCAGGAAAAAGAUCAUCUACAGUAUGAAGAUGGGACAUCUUGACUAUAA